AAGAAUACAUACGAAUACGAAAGCCCAAAAACCGAAAAAAUGAAGUAAAGGAAGAGAGAGCAAGUAGAGAGCAAGAAGAAGAACGUCUUUUGUCUUUUGUGCAUGCACUUUAAAAGUAGUUUCUUUCCUUUUU
rnacentral:ribozyme from 1 species